rnacentral:lncRNA from 1 species
GAUAAUUGACAAGCUUUCUUGAUAAGCUCAUCUCUCAUCAUUAUUCUCUCUCCCAAAACUAAUUUUUUUCUUUUGAGUUCAAUCAUGUGCUCGCUUCUGUCAAUUGAAAAGCAGAAGUGGAGCAUCCAUACUUGAAGUCAGCCGGAAAAUCCUUAUCGUAGCAAAUUGGAAAAGUCCAGCUCGCCGGAAAUAUUUUGUAUGUGUGUAUAUAGAGACUAGAGAUUGUAGAAUUACUGCUAGGGUUCUUCACAUAGAGAGAGAGUACGUGACUAUAGUUUAUGAGAGGAGUGAAGAAGCAAAAAGGAGGCUGAUGUUUCUCUUUACUGAUUCAACAAAUUUUAUCAUGCAAAUAAUGUAUCAAUGAAUGAAUGCCUCCACAUGCGCUUGUCCCCUCCCUUUUUCUUUUCUUAUUACACCCGUGACCGAGACUUAAGCUUG